CCCCUCGCCGUAAAAACCUGUAUACUUUCCCAGAAAUAUAUAACCAUAUAAAAUCUCAACAUUUAAAUCUCAAAUCUUUAACAUUUUCAAGAAAACAUGCCAUGACAUAAAUAAAAAUAUAAAUCAGGUGAAUAAGGAAUCAAUCGGAGACCCUGCAGUUGGUCCUAUACGAUUAAUUCAAUAGCUCAAAUCCCACUAAGCCGGAGUCACCACAGUGACCUAUACGGCCCUACUCUGCACAUUACUCGGAACUACGUAAGGUAGUCUAUACGAUGAAAGGUGUAAAAAUACGCUCUAGUGCUUCUCUCAUCAUAUCAUCAGCGCGCAUAACUAAGGUCACCCACUAGUCGGAAUCACGCCUAGUGAUCUGUACGACUAGCAUGUCGGAACCCUCACAUGGUCUGUACGACAUCCACCUACUUGGAUCCAAGACGAGCGUGCGGUGUGGUGAAUAAUAUAAGCACUAACACCUAGGGUGCAGAUUAUGAGCUCAACUCAUCUCAACAACAACAAUUCAAUGAAUAAAUGAACUCACCUGACUUACCUGUGCCUCCACAGCACCAUGCAACAUGUAUGCAUCAUAUUUCAAUCAUAUAGUUCAUAAACCAAUUCAUGAUUUUCAAAUAAUUCUAUGCAUGGCAUAUUCAAAACAUAUUUUCAUAUAAACAUUUUUCUGGGAAAAACAGUAGUAUAUAGGUAAUACGAAAACAAAACUGCCCACUCACUGAUAAGUCGACGGGUCGUAACCCCCGUGGCGUCCCUGGAUGCGAUCGUCCUCGGGAUACGUCUCACCUAUAUGCGAAACAACUAUAAAAACAUUAAUUUUAAGCACAUCACCAAUAAUUUGAAAUAACUUCUCAUACGAUGCUCAAUUUUGGUAUAUUAAUAUACCACAUCGACCUACUCGACGUCACGAGCGUCGAGAAAUUUUUAGAAAAAUUUUUGGAAGCCCCACGCGCCCCCACGCGCCACACGUGGCACGGGUCCACGCGCUGGCCACGCGCAGCACGUGCAGCGCACGUGUCGUCUUCUUCGCAGGUCUCGCCGGACUGGUUCUCCGGUGGCCGGACUCCGGCCGAACUCCGGCCGAUUUUCAAACUCACUAUUCUCCUUCGUUUUUCACCCAUUUUCUUCGUAUUUUAUACCAAAUUGAAGCCCUAAGAGUGUACAAUCACGUUGGACUUGUUUUAGGGCCUAAAAACUACGAAAUCUCACCUUGGAAAAACCAAAGAUUCGGCCAAACUUGAAACCUACGAUCCCGACGUCCAAAACUCUCCAACGAACGUCCCCGAGCUUCCUUAGAACCUCCUAAAGCUCACCACAAGCUUGAAAUCUCCUGAAACACAACAUUUUUACGUUCGCAUGAACAGUACCUCAAAAAUGGAGGUUCGGGAUCUAUGUGAAAUCGAAGGUUUCACUUCCUAAAACUAGCACCAAUGAACUCAGGACGACGAAAGGAUGAAGAUGCAUACCUUAUUUGCCUCGAUCCGUCGAGUUUUGAAGGGUUUUGGGUGAAGGCCGUACGUAUAGGGUGAGGGGAAAGAGAGAGAUCGUGAGGGAGAGGGACAGAGAGAGCUACGGGAGGGAGAGAAGACAGGGAGUGCGUGUGUGUGUGAUUGUGUGGUCCAACACAAUCCUCACCAUCCAUCCAAUUCCCUAACCACAAAAAUUUCCAAAUUCCAAAAUUAAAAUCCCAAAACUUACAAAAUUAAUUCAAUAAUGUCGCACACACACGUACCCGAAUGUCCGUCAAGGGUAGUUACGUCAAUUCACGUCCCCGAAAUUCCCACAAUCAAAUAACCACUUAGUACCCAUAAAAUAACCUUGGGUACAUCUCUCUCAUCCGAUCUUCCGUCUCCCAGGUGGCUUCCUCUGCAGAAUGGUUCAUCCACAAUACCUUUACCAAACUCACCGUCUUGUUCCUCAGAACCUUAUCUUUCCAAUCCAAGAUAGUGACCGGUUCCUCAUCAUACGUCAAAUCCGGAUUAAUCUCUAACGGUUGAGGAGGGAUCACAUGAGAAGGAUCAGAAAUAUAAUGCCGAAGCAUAGAGACAUGGAACACAUUAUGGACCUUAGAUAACUCCGGAGGCAGUUCCAACCGGUAGGCAACUUCACCAACUCUUUCAAUGAUCACAUAAGGUCCAAUAUAUCUCGGACUUAGCUUCCCUCUUUUCCCAAAUCGUACUACACCUCUCCAAGGCGACAAUUUCAAGAAUACCCAAUCACCCACAUCAUACACUCGAUCAGUAGUAUGCCGAUCCGCUAAACUCUUAUGUCGAUCCUGGGCUGCUUUCAGGUUUGACUUAAUUACCUGAACAUUUUGAGUCGUCUCGUCCACGAUCUCAGGGCCUUCUAAUACCCGUUCACCAACCUCAGACCAACAUAAUGGCGUUCGACACGCCCUACCAUAAAGUGCCUCGAAUGGGGACAUACCAAUGCUCGAGUGAAAACUGUUAUUAUAAGCAAACUCCAUUAAGUCCAGACGAUCAUGCCAAGAAUCACCAAAUUGCAGUACUGAAGAUCUCAACAUAUCCUCCAACGUCUGAAUGGUCCUCUCUGAUUGCCCAUCAGUUUGAGGAUGAUAAGCUGUGCUAUACAGUAAUUGAGUACCCAGAGCUUCCUGAAAAGCCACCCAAAAUUUAGAAGUAAACCUCGGGUCUCGAUCGGAGAUAAUAUUUACUGGGACUCCAUGAUACUUGACAAUCUUCGAAAUAAACAACUUAGCCAAUUUAUUCAGAGGGUAUUUCUCCCUCACAGGAAUGAAAUGCGCAGACUUGGUGAGUCGAUCCACAAUCACCCAAAUACCAUCAAAUCCAUUUCGCGUACGAGGAAGUUUAUACACGAAAUCCAUUGUUAUAUUUUCCCAUUUCCACUGGGGAACAGGAAGGGGUUGCAUUCGCCCAAAGGGCUUCUUCCUUUCUGCUUUCACUUGCUGGCAAAUAAUAUACACCUGCUCACAUAUUCUGCAAUUUCUCUUUUCAUACCCGGCCAAUAAUAAAAUGGUCGAAUGGUAUGAUACAUUUUUGUUCCUCCCGGAUGCAUCGCAUAAGCUGAACAAUGUGCUUCAUCCAGAAUUUCCUUCUUCAAUUCCUCAUUAUUCGGAACAUACAUUCUGUCUUCUUGCAUGAGCAUACCAUCUGAUUCCCGAAUUCUGAGGUCUUUCUUUUUCCCUUCACUUCUUAACUGAACCAACUCUUGAACUUCCUCAUUCACCAUCUGAGCUGCAAGUAUACGGUCCACCAAAACUGGCCUGACUUGAAAACUAGCAAGAAAAGCUCCAUCUCGGUCUUCAAUUUCCAACCUUACCCCCGUUGUCCUCAAUUCAGCAAGAAGAGGAACACGACUCGCAUAUAAGGCAUUAAGCCUACCUUGAGGUUUCCUACUCAGUGCAUCCGCUACUACAUUAGCACGACCUGGAUGGUAUUCAAUAGAACAAUCAUAAUCACUUAACAAUUCCAUCCACCUUCGCUGACGAAGAUUAAGAUCAUGCUGAGUAAACAAAUACUGAAGACUCUUGUGAUCAGUGAAGAUCUUACACUUCUCACCAUACAAGUAAUGCCUCCAAAAUUUUCAAAGCAAAAACAAUUGCUGCCAAUUCAAGAUCGUGAGUAGGAUAGUUCCUUUCAUGAUUUUUCAACUGCCUAGAAGCAUAGGCAAUCACCUUAUUAUGCUGCAUCAAAACACAUCCCAAACCAUUUAAUGAAGCAUCACUAUAUAUCUCAAAAUUACCGUUAUCGUCGGGAAGUACCAACACCGGUGCAUGAGUGAGGCAAUACUUCAAUUGUUGAAAACUCCGCUCACAAUUCUCAUCCCACUCAAAUUUAACAUCCUUCCUGGUCAACUUUGUCAACGGUAAAGCAAUCAUAGAGAAAUCCUGAACGAACCGUCGAUAAUAACCUGCUAAGCCAAGAAAACUUCGUACCUCCGUGACGGUUCGAGGUUGCUCCCAAUUCUCCACUGCUGCAAUCUUUUGAGGAUCAACUUGAAUACCUUGAGCUGAUACAAACAUGCCCCAAAAAUGCCACUUCAGUCAACCAAAACUGACAUUUACUGAACUUGGCAUACAACUGAUGCUCCCUUAAUUUCCUUAACACCAAAUUAAGGUGUCGGAUAUGAUCUGCUUGGGACUUAGAGUAUACCAGAAUAUCAUCAAUAAAAACAAUAACAAAUUUAUCAAGAUAUUUCUGGAAUACCUCAUUCAUUAAUCUCAUAAAAGCUGCAGGUGCAUUAGUCAACCCAAACGGCAUAACCGAAAAUUCAUAAUGUCCGUACCGAGUUCGGAAAGCCGUCUUAGGUACAUCGUCUUCUUUAAUCUUCAAUUGAUAAUACCCGGAUCUCAAAUCAAUCUUAGAAAAUACACACGCACCUUUCAGCUGAUCAAACAAAUCAUCAAUGCGGGGCAAUGGAUAACGGUUUUUAAUCGUUACCCGGUUCAAUUGUCUAUAAUCAAUACACAAUCGAAGAGUUCCAUCCUUCUUUCUUCACAAAUAAUACUGGGGCACCCCAAGGUGAAGAACUAGGUUGAAUAAAACCUUUAUCAAGUAAUUCUUGCAACUGGAUUUUUAAUUCCCUUAACUCAGCAGGAGCCAUUCUAUAAGGAGUCAGAGAUAUAGGGUCCGUACCUGGAAGCAAAUCAAUAGAGAAUUCCACCUCUCUGUCUGGCGGCAAUCCCGGCAAAAUCAUCAGGGAAAACAUCCGGAUAAUGUCUGACCACACCAACUUCUUCUAUACUAGUAGGAGCAACAUCAUUUAAUACCACAUGUGCCAAAUAUCCCUGACAACCCUUCGAUAAUAAUUUCCUCGCCCUUAUGGCAGAAAUAACUCCAUGUCUCACCCCACUUCUCUCGCCCACAAAAAAUAACCUCGGGUAAUCCAGGACGAUAAAAAGUAACUGAUUUACCAUAACAAUCAAUAUGGGCACGAUUAUGGUGUAACCAAUCGGCCCCUAAAAUCACAUCGAAAAUCCACAAUAUCUAACGGAAUAAGAUCAGCGGACAUAAUCACGCCCUCAACCAUCACUGGACACCCCAGAUACACACUAUCCACAAUACAUUUAUCUCCUCUAGGCAUGGCAAACUCUAAAUCAAAUCCUAGAGGUGAAGGGUGAGGUUGGGUUAUUUGAGCAAACGUAUGAGAAAUCACAGAGUGCGCGUAGCACCACAAUCAAUCAAAACCUUAGCAAAAUGACCAAGAACAUUUAACGUACCCAUUAUCAAGUCUGGAUGGUUCUGAGCCUCCUGCAGGGAACAUAUGAUUAACUCGCCCCUGAGCUUGCUGACGUCCACCUCGGCCUCUAUUGCCCUGAUUACCUCGUCCCUGAGGAUUACGUCCCUGGCCUGGCUGACUAGGCUGCCUGGAUGAUCCUGCACCACCAGUAGCAACUUCCCCCUGACGGGGCUGGCCUCCCUGAUGCCACUGCGAUCCACCAGCUGGCAUAGAGGAAUAAGAAGAAUAACCUCCAAAAUCCUGAGAAUACCCUGCCUGAGGAUAAGGCUCCUGAGAAUACUGAUAAGGUCCGGAAGCAUACGGAGCAGCAUCCCCCUGAUAGUGGUAGGCACCACCACGACUCGGCUGGCCAUAACCACCCGGUCCAAAACUCUGCUGAACUGGUGCUGGAGGUGGCAUAUUAGUCUGCUGCGGUCUCUGCUGACCCUGGGGGCACUGAGAAGCCCGAUGUCCCAUCUGCCCACACGUAAAACAAGCACCAGAACCUCUCCUACACUCACCAUGGUGACGGGAGUUACAACGGCGGCACCAUGGAGCGCCAGAUCCACCAGCAUCCCUCUGACCCUGAAAUCUGGGUCCACCAGAAAAUCUUCCACCACCUCUCCUCGGGCCAGUAAAACUAUAUCCCCCACUAGAAGAACUCGAACUCGCUCCACUCUUCUUAAAACUCUGUGUCUGUCGAGGUCCAGGAAUAGAAAUACCCUUACCCUUAUCAUUCUUCUUCUGACCCUCAUUCUUGUCCUCGUCAUCCUCACUGUCAGGAAGAUUAUCAGAGUCCUCCAUCCUAACCAAAAUCUCGAAAUACUCAUGAUAAUCAGCGCAGGGAAGUGCAUUGGCAAAGGUACGCCACUUCUUCUUAGAUCCCAACUUGAAACGUCGAAGCAUCUCUCCCUGAUUACCAGCUAUAUCAGUGUCAUAACGAGACAAAUCAGUAAACUUUCUAUAAUAUUCAUGUGCCGACAUAUUUCUCUGUUUCAACCUGGUGAAUUCCUGCUUCUUACGGUCAAUAUACUCAGGAGGAACGAAUCUCUUCAUAAAAUGCUCCUUGAAUACUUUCCAGUCGGCUGCCGUCUCAGGUGACAUGUACCUAGCCUGAUUUAUCCACCAUGCUGCUGGUUCACGACCCAGAAACCAAGUGGUGGUCUCCACCCACCUAUUAGCAGGGAGAUUCCCCUGACUCUCUGCAUCACCUGAAAGGUUUUUCUCAAUAUGAUCAAGCCAUUUCUCUGCCCCCUCAUGACUUUCAUUACCCAUAAACCGAUCUAACUUCAAGUUGUACAUGGUCUCCAGAGGUGUCCUCGGAGGAGGGGGAGGACGAAUCACAUUCUGUAAAGCCUGGGCCAUCGCUUCCCCUAACUGAGUAAUAUCCGGGAAAUUAGGUUCAGGAGUACGGCGGGACUCCCUACGCUCUCUACGAGGCGGCAUGAUUCUGACAGAAAACAUCAAAAGAUCGUUAAGACAUUAACAAUUUUACAGGACUGCAACCUAAGCUCUGAUACCAAACUGACACACCCUGAUCCGGAGGAUCCAGGUGUGCUGGCCGUCACGUGGGCGUGACGUAACCAUAAGCACGACACGGAAGCGUAAUAACAACAUAUAACAACAGAAAUUCAACCCAAACUCAACAUAACCACAUACGGACAUAACCGGACGAGUUACAAGUAAACACAUAAGUUCAGAGCAUAGAUUAACUGCAGUCAAGUAGGACUAAAAUAAGAAUACAUCACCCUCAGGUGAGUCCUACAUGUCCCAAAUCUGUCAGAAAGCCGGAAAGGACCUCGUGAGCCAACCACCGCUAAACUAGAACCUGGAGGGGCGCAAAACAAAAUGAGUGGGUCAGUAAAACAAAUUAGUUUUCCAAAACAUUUCAUUAAAACAGUUAUAUCCCCUCGCCGUAAAAACCUGUAUACUUUCCCAGAAAUAUAUAACCAUAUAAAAUCUCAACAUUUAAAUCUCAAAUCUUUAACAUUUUCAAGAAAACAUGCCAUGACAUAAAUAAAAAUAUAAAUCAGGUGAAUAAGGAAUCAAUCGGAGACCCUGCAGUUGGUCCUAUACGAUUAAUUCAAUAGCUCAAAUCCCACUAAGCCGGAGUCACCACAGUGACCUAUACGGCCCUACUCUGCACAUUACUCGGAACUACGUAAGGUAGUCUAUACGAUGAAAGGUGUAAAAAUACGCUCUAGUGCUUCUCUCAUCAUAUCAUCAGCGCGCAUAACUAAGGUCACCCACUAGUCGGAAUCACGCCUAGUGAUCUGUACGACUAGCAUGUCGGAACCCUCACAUGGUCUGUACGACAUCCACCUACUUGGAUCCAAGACGAGCGUGCGGUGUGGUGAAUAAUAUAAGCACUAACACCUAGGGUGCAGAUUAUGAGCUCAACUCAUCUCAACAACAACAAUUCAAUGAAUAAAUGAACUCACCUGACUUACCUGUGCCUCCACAGCACCAUGCAACAUGUAUGCAUCAUAUUUCAAUCAUAUAGUUCAUAAACCAAUUCAUGAUUUUCAAAUAAUUCUAUGCAUGGCAUAUUCAAAACAUAUUUUCAUAUAAAACAUUUUUCUGGGAAAAACAGUAGUAUAUAGGUAAUACGAAAACAAAACUGCCCACUCAC
rnacentral:lncRNA from 1 species